GCGCUUUUCAGGGGGUGGAAAAGUCUGGAUUGUGAUUCCAGUUGUCGCGGGUUCGACCCCCGUCGGUCGCCCCA
rnacentral:tRNA from 1 species